UUAUCGUGACUGGGAAACAGGACGAACGCUGGCGGCGUGCUUAACACAUGCAAGUCGAGCGAUGAAGCACCUUCGGGUGUGGAUUAGCGGCGAACGGGUGAGGAACACGUGAGGAAUCUGCCUUCCACUCUGGGAUAACUCCGGGAAACCGGGGCUAAUACCGGAUACUUUCAACUGGCGGCAUCGCCGGUUGAAGAAAGUUUUUCGGUGGAAGAUGACCUCGCGGCCUAUCAGCUUGUUGGUGAGGUAAUGGCUCACCAAGGCGACGACGGGUAGCCGGCCUGAGAGGGCGACCGGCCACACUGGGACUGAGACACGGCCCAGACUCCUACGGGAGGCAGCAGUGGGGAAUAUUGGGCAAUGGAGGAAACUCUGACCCAGCGACGCCGCGUGAGGGAUGAAGGCCUUCGGGUUGUAAACCUCUUUCAGCAGGGAAUAAGCGAAAGUGAAGGUACCUGCAGAAGAAGCACCGGCUAACUAUGUGCCAGCAGCCGCGGUAAUACAUAGGGUGCAAGCGUUGUCCGGAAUUAUUGGGCGUAAAGAGCUCGUAGGUGGUCGAUCACGUCGGAUGUGAAAAUCUGAGGCUUAACCUCAGACCUGCAUUCGAUACGGGUUGACUAGAGUGUGGUAGGGGAGACUGGAAUUCCUGGUGUAGCGGUGGAAUGCGCAGAUAUCAGGAGGAACACCGAUGGCGAAGGCAGGUCUCUGGGCCAUUACUGACACUGAGGAGCGAAAGCGUGGGGAGCGAACAGGAUUAGAUACCCUGGUAGUCCACGCCGUAAACGGUGGGCGCUAGUUGUGGGAACCUUCCACGGUUUCUGCGACGCAGCUAACGCAUUAAGCGCCCCGCCUGGGGAGUACGGUCGCAAGACUAAAACUCAAAGAAAUUGACGGGGCCCCGCACAAGCAGCGGAGCAUGCGGCUUAAUUCGACGCAACGCGAAGAACCUUACCAAGGCUUGACAUAUACAGGAAUACGGCAGAGAUGUCGUAGCCGCAAGGUCUGUAUACAGGUGGUGCAUGGUUGUCGUCAGCUCGUGUCGUGAGAUGUUGGGUUAAGUCCCGCAACGAGCGCAACCCUCGUUCUGUGUUGCCAGCAUUUAGUUGGGGACUCACAGGAGACUGCCGGGGU
rnacentral:rRNA from 1 species